CUUUGAAUUGGCCUUCAAAGAUAUUCCAAUAGGCUUGCAUUAAUCCAUAUUAAUUUUUUUCAAUACUUCUUUACUAUACUUACUUUGGUUUAUUGUAAUGGUCUUGUUACCAUGAUCUUUUAUAAAUUCUAUUUCUAAAUAAUAAUGGAGUUUUUUUAAAUCAUUCAUUUCAUAUUUAUUUUUUAAAAUUUUUCCUUCAAUCAAUCCAUCUUCUUCAUAGUAUUAGUCAAUAUGAUUAAAUAAUCAACAUAAAGGAUGAUAAUUAAUAUAAACGCAUUUAAUUGCAUUACAUAUAACAAAUGAUCAACCUCACUCUUUACAAAUCCUUCAUUUAUAAAA
rnacentral:lncRNA from 1 species